GACGAACGCUGGCGGCGUGCUUAACACAUGCAAGUCGAACGGUGAAGCGCCUUCCUUUUUGGUGGGUGUGGAUGAGUGGCGAACGGGUGAGUAACACGUGAGUAACCUGCCCCCUUCUUCUGGAUAACCGCAUGAAAGUGUGGCUAAUACGGGAUAUUCUGGGUCUGUCGCAUGAUGGGUCUGGGAAAGAUAUUGUUUCGGUGGGGGAUGGGCUCGCGGCCUAUCAGCGUGUUGGUGGGGUGAUGGCCUACCAAGGCGGUGACGGGUAGCCGGCCUGAGAGGGUGGACGGUCACACUGGGACUGAGACACGGCCCAGACUCCUACGGGAGGCAGCAGUGGGGAAUAUUGCACAAUGGGCGCAAGCCUGAUGCAGCGACGCCGCGUGAGGGAUGGAGGCCUUCGGGUUGUGAACCUCUUUCGCCAGUGAAGCAGGCCUGCCUCGUUUGUGGGUGGGUUGACGGUAGCUGGAUAAGAAGCGCCGGCUAACUACGUG
rnacentral:rRNA from 1 species